AUUUUAAUGCUUUUCAAAAGAGGAUAGACCUUGUCAGCUAUCCCAGCGGGUCUUCUUAAAGGUUCAUCAAAUGACUGAGAACUGUGGAGCAGAUUGGAGGUGGAGCUCUCCUUUCCUUCCCCAUUCUUUCUAGAACAGUAACUCCUCAUCUGGAAGAUGCAGACCCUGCUGUGAAGUGCUGUAAGUGAACCAGAUGCAAAGGAAAGCACCGAGAGGCAAACUGGCUUUCUUUGUCACCCAAGAGGGCACUGGCCAAGCCUGAAUCAGGGCUUAGCUCAUGUCCAGCACUCACAGUCAUCCUUUCCUUCUGCUGCUAAACAGCAUUUACUGGAACCCCCGGCAUGGAGCUCUGUAUCCAGACAGUUAAAUGCAGGUCAGCAGUGCUGCACAACGGAAGGACGGGAGUUAUGCUGCUUUUAGCCGGAUGGCUUGAUGAGCUGCAAGGCAUGUCUGUUGUCAGUACUCAGUGCAGCACAGAGACAAAUGCCUUUUUGAUUUUUCUCCAUAAAGGAAGAGUACGUCUUGUGUAGUAGCUUGGGUACAAUGCCCUGACAGUGAGCAUAGGAGCUUGGAAGAAAGUAUAAAGGGAUACAGUGAAAGUUGAGCUCUGCAACAUCUCUUUUUCUGUUGCACUCCAGUUUCUAUGAUCCAAUUGCUGCCAUGGCUAAAAUAAGAAAUAGGGGAUGAGAAACAUCCUGCUCUUCUGAGAAUAUGCAUAUAAGGGACGUUGUCAAUCUCAGGUGCAAAUAGCACGUGAUCACUUGUACAAUAGGCAGAGAUCUAAUGAAGGCUUCUCAAGGUUUCCCUGUAGCCUAUAAAGUAGUCAGGCUACUCUACUUUUGAUGUAAACAGACC
ensembl:lncRNA